AUUAAACGCUGGCGGCAUGCCUUACACAUGCAAGUCGAACGGCAGCACGGGGGCAACCCUGGUGGCGAGUGGCGGACGGGUGAGUAAAGCAUCGGAACGUAUCCUGGAGUGGGGGAUAACGUAGCGAAAGUUACGCUAAUACCGCAUAUUCUGUGAGCAGGAAAGCAGGGGAUCGCAAGACCUUGCGCUCUGGGAGCGGCCGAUGUCGGAUUAGCUAGUUGGUGGGGUAAAGGCCUACCAAGGCGACGAUCCGUAGCGGGUCUGAGAGGAUGAUCCGCCACACUGGGACUGAGACACGGCCCAGACUCCUACGGGAGGCAGCAGUGGGGAAUUUUGGACAAUGGGCGCAAGCCUGAUCCAGCCAUGCCACGUGAGUGAAGAAGGCCUUCGG
rnacentral:rRNA from 1 species